rnacentral:lncRNA from 1 species
CAGCAUACAAGGUGUGCCACUGCUACUUGUCGCUGGGGAAGCACAUGUUCCUGCUUGUGGGGAUGCGCCCACUGUUUCCAACACAAAUGUGGGUCAGGCCACUUUUGUAUGGCCCUGGUUGUCAAUGUCCAUCACUCGCCUAGCCCCAUGCCAGAGGUGUUUGCUUAUUUAUCAAGCCAGUUGUUCUUACUGAUGUAUCUGAGAACUGCUAUGUUGACCUUUCAGGGAGAGUUAAACAGACAGAGAGGCCUUGUCCCUUCUAAUUUCCUGGAAGCUGUGUCUCUGGAUGGAGGAGUUUCUGAGGGACUUCAUUCAAAGGAUAAAGAUGGCUGUGCAGUGAGUGUCGAGAGUCAGAGAAUGAGGAAGAGAAGAGUCCAGUGAUAGAUAUGAAUGAUACAUAGAGAGAACAACCAUCUCAAUUUAGAUGGGCCUGGUGACCUGUCAGCAAACACCUUUGAAGUGCCGCCAUCCUGCCGUGUCACUGGUGUCCCAAGUCCAGAGCAAGUAGUGUUUGAGACUCCUGAAUCCAGUGUUUUGCCUGUUCAAACUAAAAAAAAGAGAGGCUUCUUCUUCAAGGGAAAACAGCUCUUCAGAAAACUAGGGUCCAGCAAGAAGAACUGAAAAUGGAUGUUACCGAACUAUUUAGACUUGUCCAUAAGCCAGGCAUGGACUGUAAAUUCAGGACAUGCCCUCUGCAAUAAACUGACCUGCCACAGAGUAUUUUCA